AAUGAGUAUUCUAAGGCGCUUGAGAGAACUCAGGAGAAGGAACUCGGCAAAUUGACACCGUAACUUCGGAAGAAGGUGUGCCUUAGUAGGUGAAGUCCCUCGCGGAUGGAGCCCAAUGAGGUUGCAAAAAAUCGGUGGCUGCGACUGUUUAUUAAAAACACAGCACUCUGCAAACACGAAAGUGGACGUAUAGGGUGUGACGCCUGCCCGGUGCUGGAAGAUUAAAUGAUGGGGUGCAAGCUCUUGAUUGAAGUCCCAGUAAACGGCGGCCGUAACAAUAACGGUCCUAAGGUAGCGAAAUUCCUUGUCGGGUAAGUUCCGACCUGCACGAAUGGCGUAACGAUGGCCACACUGUCUCCUCCUGAGACUCAGCGAAGUUGAAAUGUUUGUGAUGAUGCAAUCUCCCCGCGGAAAGACGGAAAGACCCCAUGAACCUUUACUGUAGCUUUGUAUUGGACUUUGAACAGAUCUGUGUAGGAUAGGUGGGAGGCUUUGAAGCAGGGUCGCUAGAUCUUGUGGAGCCAACGUUGAAAUACCACCCUGGUGUGUUUGAGGUUCUAACCUAGGCCCGUAAUCCGGGUUGGGGACAGUGCAUGGUAGGCAGUUUGACUGGGGCGGUCUCCUCCCAAAGUAUAACGGAGGAGUUCGAAGGUACGCUAGUUACGGUCGGACAUCGUGACGAUAGUGCAAUGGCAUAAGCGUGCUUAACUGCGAGACUGACAAGUCGAGCAGAUGCGAAAGCAGGACAUAGUGAUCCGGUGGUUCUGUAUGGAAGGGCCAUCGCUCAACGGAUAAAAGGUACUCUGGGGAUAACAGGCUGAUACCGCCCAAGAGUUCAUAUCGACGGCGGUGUUUGGCACCUCGAUGUCGGCUCAUCUCAUCCUGGGGCUGUAGCCGGUCCCAAGGGUAUGGCUGUUCGCCAUUUAAAGAGGUACGUGAGCUGGGUUUAAAACGUCGUGAGACAGUUUGGUCCCUAUCUUCCGUGGGCGCUGCAGAUUUGAGGAAGCCUGCUCCUAGUACGAGAGGACCGGAGUGGACGCACCUCUGGUGUAUCGGUUGUCACGCCAGUGGCAUUGCCGAGUAGCUAUGUGCGGAAGAGAUAACCGCUGAAAGCAUCUAAGCGGGAAACUCGUUUCAAGAUGAGAUCUGCCGGGGCCUUGAGCCCCCUGAAGAGUCGUUCAAGACCAGGACGUUGAUAGGUCGGGUGUGGAAGCGCAGUAAUGCGUUAAGCUAACCGAUACUAAUUGCUCGUGCGGCUUGACCU
rnacentral:rRNA from 1 species